ACUUCUUUACAGCGUUGUAGGUCACGUGCAAUGUAUAAUUACCGUUGCAAAAUGCAUUUUUUUAUAUCGUUAAUAAUAUCCUUCGUAGAUGUGCAGUAGCGUAGCACAAAUUCUUUCAAAUUUUACUUUCAUAAUCUGUCAUAGUAAAUAAUAUUCUAAACUAUUAUAAGAUCGUGCCAAAAAAUAAGAUAAAUUCCUGAAAUACCUAAACAUUGUAUAAUCGUAUGAUAUUGUACAAAAAAAGUAAUAUAUUUUUAUUUAAAUAGGGAUAUUAUUCAUUUUGCUUAGUUAAUAAAUGAAAGGAAAAAAUUGAAGAAAGAAAGGAAAUGAUGACGUUGUAUAUAUGUCAGUGGAACAUCACGUGGAUGCGUGAAAUCGCAAGUCAAUGACCUGAUCAAUGACCUGUUGACUCGGACAGUAUAUAUAUGUAUAUGCAUAAACGUACUCGAAAAAAGUGAAAUAACAAAUAUAGGAAGUUAUGAAUCACUUUUACUAUUAGAAGAUUGAUACAUUAAGGCAGUUUGAGAGGAAAAUCGUUCACCCAGGAAAUAGAAAUAACAUUAUCAUUGUCUAAAAGAUCUUCUUAAAGUUAAAUAUUUUAAACUUGAAAAUGUUUAAAAUUUUAUUUCCUACUACAUUCAGUUUAAUUUACUAAAUUAUUAUAUCGUAGGAAUGCAACGGAUUUUUAUUGUAUAAAUAUCGAAUAAAAAGUGACUUACCAGGGACUACUUCUCCAUUGAAUGUCAUCUCCACAAGGUGUACAACAGCUUCAUGGGGUACAAAUGAUGCCAGGAAUCGUUGACUACCUAAUGCUCUGACAAAGCUAGUUACGUGACCACCAUUCACGAGGAUCUCUAGAUUUCCAGAUCCAGCAUUAGAUCCGUCAACUAUAAAUUUGAAAUAUACAGGACAAUACACAUAAAUUUGCAUUAAUAUCCUUUAUUUUGUAUAAUAUAUGUUUUUAAAUACAUACUUUCAAAUUCUACUGGCUGAUUAACAAUGCCAUUCGGAAUGUUCCCAAUCUGAAUACCACGUGCAUUGUAUGCUUGCGAUCUGAGAUAAUGAAAGAUUAAAUUUUUUAUGUGAUUA